AGUAGCGGCGAGCGAACGGGGAAGAGCCCAAACCUUUUUUAGCAAUAGAGAAGGGGUUGUAGGACCGCGUAAGUACCAAUUAAUGCAUAUAGCUGAAGCGGCAUGGAAAGGCCGACCGUAGAGGGUGAUAGUCCUGUAGGCGGAAUGUGUGUUAUAGGGAAGCGGUAUCCUGAGUACCACNNGGAAAGGCGAAAAGAACCCCGGCGAGGGGAGUGAAAUAGAACCUGAAACCGUAUGCUUACAAAUAAUUGGAGCGGAGCAAUCCGUGACAGUGUACCUUUUGAUUAAUGGGCCGGCGAGUUACUGGCUGUAGCGAGGUUAAAUGCUUAAGGCAUGGAGCCGAAGGGAAACCGAGUCUUAAACGGGCGAAUAGUUACAGUCAGUAGACCCGAAGCCAGGUGAUCUACCCAUGGACAGGGUGAAGCGAAGGUAAGACUUCGUGGAGGCCCGAACCGGUGUUUGUUGCAAAAAGCUCGGAUGAGCUGUGGGUAGGGGUGAAAGGCCAAUCAAACCUGGUGAUAGCUGGUACUCCUCGAAAUGUAUUUAGGUACAGCCUGCAGGUAGUCGCAGGGGGGUAGGGCACUGAAUGGGCUAGGGCUACGUAGGUAGUACCAAACCCAAUCAAACCACGAAUACCCUGGCGGACGUUCCUGUGGAGUGAGACUGCGAGUGCUAAGAUCCGUAGUCGAGAGGGAAACAGCCCAGACCGUCAGCUAAGGUCCCUAAGAUAGUGCUAAGUGGGAAAGGAUGUGGUUUUACUCAGACAGCCAGGAUGUUGGCUUAGAAGCAGCCAUCAUUUAAAGAAAGCGUAAUAGCUCACUGGUCGAGUGACACUGCGCCGAAAAUGUAACGGGGCUCAAGCACUACACCGAAGCUACGGACUUGUCGCAAGACAAGUGGUAGAGGAGCAUUCUGUGCACCUGUGAAGGUGAGUCGUGAGGCUUGCUGGAGGGGACAGAAGAGAUUAUGUCGGCAUAAGUAGCGAAUAGGCUGAUGAAAAGUCAGCCCGCCGUAAACCUAAGGUUUCCUGGGGUAGGGAAAUCCGCCCAGGGUUAGUCGGUCCUAAGGCCAGGCUGAAAGGCGUAGCCGAUGGACAGCAGGUUAAUAUUCCUGCACCAUAUGUUGUGCGUUUGACUGAAGAGGGGACGCAGGAGGAUAGUUUGAGCCUGGUGAUGGUUCAGGUCCAAGCGUGUAGGCUGGUGAGUAGGCAAAUCCGCUCACUAUUAAGGCUGAAGCGUGACGGGGAAGCCCGCAAGGGUGAACUCAGGUGAUUCCACGCUGACGAGAAAAUCCUCGUAGGGAGUACAACGUGUGACCGUACCGCAAACCGACACUGGUAGGUGGGUAGAAGAUACCAAGGCGGACGAGUUAACCCUCGCUAAGGAACUCGGCAAAAUAACCCCGUAACUUCGGGAUAAGGGGUUCCUAGCAAUAGGACGCAGUGAAGUGGACCAAGCGACUGUUUACCAAAAACACAGGUGUCUGCAAACUCGCAAGAGGAAGUAUAGGCACUGACUCCUGCCCGGUGCCGGAAGGUUAAUAGGAGGGGUUAGCCGCAAGGCGAAGCUCUGAAUUGAAGCCCCGGUAAACGGCGGCCGUAACUAUAACGGUCCUAAGGUAGCGAAAUUCCUUGUCGGGUAAGUUCCGACCUGCACGAAUGGAGUAACGACUUGGUCGCUGUCUCGGCGAGGGGCUCGGCGAACUUAAGAUACCGGUGAAGACGCCGGUUACCUGCAGCUAGACGGAAAGACCCCGUGCACCUUUACUAUAACUUGGCAGUGAGUUUUGGCAAUACAUGUGUAGGAUAGGUGGGAGGCUAUGAAGCGGGAACGCUAGUUUUCGUGGAGCCGACGUUGAAAUACCACCCUUGUGUUUCUGGGACUCUAACCUGCACCCCUUAUCGGGGUGGGGGACACUGUCUGGUGGGUAGUUUGACUGGGGCGGUCGCCUCCUAAAGAGUAACGGAGGCGUUCAAAGGUCACCUCAGGCUGGACGGAAACCAGCCGUUGAGUGCAAAGGCAUAAGGUGGCUUAACUGUGAGACUGACGGGUCGAGCAGAUACGAAAGUAGGACUUAGUGAUCCGGUGGCACUGUGUGGAAGGGCCAUCGCUCAACGGAUAAAAGGUACGCCGGGGAUAACAGGCUUAUCGCGUCCAAGAGUUCACAUCGACGACGCGGUUUGGCACCUCGAUGUCGACUCAUCGCAUCCUGGGGCUGAAGUAGGUCCCAAGGGUUCGGCUGUUCGCCGAUUAAAGCGGUACGUGAGUUGGGUUCAGAACGUCGUGAGACAGUUCGGUCCCUAUCUGCUGUAGGCGCAGGAGACUUGAGGGGGGCUGUCCUUAGUACGAGAGGACCGGGACAGACNNGGAUAACCGCUGAAGGCAUCUAAGCGGGAAGCCCACCCCAAGAUGAGGUCUCCCAGGGAGUAAUCCCUCUGAAGGUCCGUGGUAGACCACCACGUCGAUAGGCUGGAGGUGUAAGCGCAGUAAUGUGUUCAGCUUACCAGUACUAAUAGACCGUGUGCCUUGACCAU
rnacentral:rRNA from 1 species